rnacentral:lncRNA from 1 species
GUAAAUCAUUCUAAGUGAGGCUUCCUAACAUCUUACUAGCCUAGGAUUAAUAUCAGCCCAUUUUUUGGAGGAGAACCAACAAGACUGGCUAUUUGACUGGAUCCCCCAAUUGGUUUACUCCAAGAUUCCUCUUCAUUGGCUUAAGAAGAUACAAGACAGGAGUCUCCAAUCCUUAGACCAUGGACCAAUAUCAACCAUGGCCAGUUAGCAACCCGGUAACAAAGCAGGAGCAGCCCUGAGAAGUAAAUACUGUUGCUGUCAUCCCUAUUUUACAAAUGAGGAAACAAAAAUAGAGAAAUGAAGCAAUUUGUCCAAGAUCACUCUGCUGGCAAGCAACAGAACCAGGAGUUUAACCCAGGUAAAUGUGCUGUUAACCCCAUAGCAUAGACACCUCUGGACUUCUGAAACAGAAUCCUGUGACCACCGUGGAUGAAACAUAGACUCUCAUUAAGCUGCAGUUCCAAUGCCUGAGUAGCGUGAAUUGCUUCUAUGAUAAGGCAUUAUUUAGCCUUUGCCUGAAACAGCCCUAAUGAGAAGGAUCUCGCCACCUCAUGGCAUGGUCCAGUUCAUUUUCAGAAGCUUUCUUUGUAAUCUGUGCUUAUAAAAUUGUUAACAGGGGAUAGCUAAU